UACGUAGGGUCCGAGCGUUUGUCCGGAAUUACUGGGCGUAAAGAGCUCGUAGGCGGCUUGUCGCGUCGAUUGUGAAAGCCCGGGGCUCAACCUCGGGUCUGCAGUCGAUACGAGCAAACUAGAGUGUUGCAGGGGAGACUGGAAUUCCAGGUGUAGCGGUGAAAUGCGUAGAUAUCUGGAGGAACACCGGUGGCGAAGGCGGCAUCCUGGACCGGCAUUGACGCUGAGGCGCGAAAGCUAGGGGAGCAAACGGG
rnacentral:rRNA from 1 species